UAAUAAUAUAGUGGCGCAGUAUCCUAGUCGGUUCUGCUUUAUCGGAAGGCGGGCCUAAAAAUCCGCUAAAUGGCACAUCGAUGAAGUUUCUGGUGUCACGCUUCGAAUGCCAGGUCGGGGCGGAUGCUGGGAGUUAAGGUUUAGGGGCGUUCUCCAACGGCAUGGCGAACCUCCCCCCUUUUCCGCGGAGGCCUGUUACUGUGGCAGCCCAUGUUACACCAACGUAAGCUGUUACGGCUCAGGGGAAAACCUGCUUUGCGGUUAGUAAUGCUUAGGUUGACCAGACCUAUUCAUGAAUGCUGUGAGCAGCGUAGCCAGCCUUGAGUGGAUUUGUCGGAUGAAUGACAGCCUUUAUGGCGAUCACGGCCGGAUUGCACAAAGGUAUUGCUUUCUGAAAGCUUAUCUGCAAAAGAGGAUACGAUAAACAAAGGCCGUUUGGGAAAACCUCUAGGCUGUUGUGAAAGCAAACGGAUACGGGAUUGCAGUACGGACUAAGUGGCAAUCUGGCAGCCCUCGGGCGUCCGGCUUUAAUGGGAAACCACCGUUUCGGCGACGAUUCGGCAGCCGGUCGGGAAAACCUGCCUGACCUAAGCCGUAAACUUUACCGUUUCCGUUGCCCUAUGAUUUUU
rnacentral:sRNA from 1 species